UACGGGGGGGGCAAGCGUUGUUCGGAAUUACUGGGCGUAAAGGGUUCGUAGGUGGCCAAUUAAGUCAGACGUGAAAUCCCUCAGCUUAACUGGGGAACUGCGUCUGAGACUGGAUGGCUUGAGUGCAGGAGAGGAACGCGGAAUUCCAGGUGUAGCGGUGAAAUGCGUAGAUAUCAGGAGGAACACCGAUGGCGAAGGCAGGUCUCUGGGCUGACACUGACGCUCAUGCACGAAAGCGUGGGGAGCAAACAGG
rnacentral:rRNA from 1 species